CUUUCCAACUAUGAUUUGGUUAGAUAAUGGGCUAUUAGCUCAGGUGGUUAGAGCGCACCCAUGAUAAGGGUGAGGUCCGUGGUUGGAGUCCAGGAUGGCCCACCUGAAGCAAUGCAAAAUUAAAAAUUCAAAAUUCAAAAUUAAGAAAUUGUUUCUGAAUUUUGCAUUUUGAAUUUUGAAUUGUGUUGGGGGGUUUAGGUCAGUUGGUAGAGGGCCUGGUUUGCAAGCAGGAUGUCAGCGGUUCGAGUCCGCUAACCUCCACAUGAAAAGGCAAGCAAGCCAAGAAAGAGGAAAAAUUCAGCAACUAACGGGAGUUAGACUGCUGGGUGAAGACCUAGCCAGAACCUUGAAAACUGCAUAAAAACGCGAUUAGAUUAGCAGGCAGACACAGACAAACUGUGAAUGCAGGAUAAAACCAAUGGAAUUGUGUCAAG
rnacentral:misc_RNA from 1 species